UAGCAGCAGCCGAAACAGUGCUUUUAGACCCGAACCCUGACUUGACCGCGAAAUGCUUGCGUACGAGCCCAUCCCCACGAUAUAUUAUUACCUGUUUAACAAUUUCCGUGUCCUUGUCUUGGUUUUCAGCAAUCAUACAGAACACGCAGGUGUCUUCCAUGUCACUGGAUAAAUGACUUUGUGUAUCAUCGUGGUGUUGUUGUACAAUGUCCCCUGCGCUGUUCUCCAUUUAGCCGGUCCGGUUCCCGAGAUCUAAUUCCUGAUGGCAGCCGGUUUCGAUUUACCGCUUCCGUAACAGGAAGAAUUGCAGCAUGUUGUUCACCUCGAGCACUCACAGAAUCUGCCCCUGCAGAUACGCUGUAGCUCCGCAUGGCUGUCCACUGCUUAUGUUCAGCCUUCCACAGCUGUAUGGGGCCAGGGAUCACCUGAAAGGACUCUCAACAACAAAUACAGGCUUGUAGAGAGGAAUGCUUUCAGAGGUCCAUACCAUUGUCAUGAGACUGUUUUUGACAUUUCAUGCCUUGCAAUGGCAGAGAACAAAUCUGCCUCUACCCACUACUCCCAAUGAAGCUAUCGAAUUGUAUUUGUUCUUACGGGCUUACAUGCUAACUCAUCUGUAACACAGAGGACUAGGGAUGAACUCUGUUAUCCUGACGCUGAAGGGGACAGACCGAGGUGGCUGCCCUGCAGAUUGAGAGGGGCGCCAACCUGGGGGAGGUCAAUAAUGAGGGAUACACCCCACUCAUAGAGGCUGCAUGAGGGGGGCAAGAGGACAUGGUAGCACUAUUAUUGUCACAAGGUACCAACAUCAACACUCAAGAGGGGAUCCAGGAGACGGCCCUGCCGGGGCCAACUUCAAGCUGGGCUGCUCAACACUUCUCAUAGAAGGACACUUGGAGCUAGUCAAAUACCUGCUGACUGCAGAUCACACACAACACUCGGGAUGGAAUUUACACCUGUGUUCUUGUACUCCGGAGCCAUUGUCCAUGCAACAGGAGACACAGCGCUGACGUACACCUCAGAGAAUGGACACACAGGACGUGGCUGACGUGCUGUGCAGACGGACGCUGACCUGGUGGUCCCUGACAGUUGGAAGAUAGACAUGAGCAAUAUCUUAGAAUCGGAAGCAGCGACGAGUAGGAGAAGGAAGGAAAGGAGAGCGAAGAGGAACUAAGGAUGGUUCCUAUGGUGUCCUACCUCCUUGACUACCCCAUCCUUUUGGUCCCUGUGCCAAACCUACUGCAUCUCAGCUCUCACCCCCUCCCAUGACACCUCUCAGGCUCCACGACUUCCAUUCCAAACCCUGGCCAUGGUAGUGCCCCCACAAGAGACAGACAGAGUACCCUCCAACAUCACAACACCUCCAUCUGUCAUCAUCCACCUGUAGCACGCGCUCCAGCAGCUGUCUCAGACGGCUUCAAGCAGAUGCCGAGCCCCUUCCAGGGUAACCCACUUGCUGCAGACAGUCCAGACACAGAUCUGCUGCCCCUCUUCUACUUGUACCAGCCCCUGGAGUGCGUUGUGGAAGAGACGGAGAGCACACUGAAUGAGUUCAGCCAAAAGUAUCUCAGCCAUAGAGAAGGCUGAGCUGCAGAAGAAGAAGAUCCUCAAGAAGAAGUUCACCAAAGAGUGCAUGAAGGCCGAAGGCCUGAAGGGUGACCCUGGGCAGCCACCUAGCUCUGUAGACCAGCUUCUUACCUUGGCCACUCAGCAUUCUAGACUUUAGUACAGCAGACUACCCCAACAUCACAUGCCCUGCCCUACAGAGGCUGAUGGUGAGCCAGCAGUAGAUGUUGGGACAGUAGUUGACAGGCCUGGGACCCGGGCCUUCUCACUCAGGCCCCCGACAGACUCAUAGUGGCCUUCCCCACACAGAUUGUCACUGACACGCUGGUAGACAUCAUGGCAGUUAUGUGAGCAGUUACUGUAGAAGCUGGUUCUUCACUUUCUUUCUUCUUCUAAUAACAAGUAGUAAGUAGCAGUGAGCAGUAGAGUGUCUAUGUUGAACACUACAACCUCGCCCAUACCCACAGCACAGAUGCCCAUCAAUUCAGUGUCUCCCACCCCCCAUGCUCCCCCUCUGGACAUCGAUACACAUCUACGUCACACCACCUUGCUAGAUUCUUAUAUUUAUAUGUACAUUUUUCUGGGAAAUGUAUAGUUUCUGUGUAGAAGUGGGAGUCUGUGUAUGUAGGUGUUGGAGAGUAAUCUCUCUGUCCCCUGCUUUCACUCCUCUAAUCCUGGCUGCUAGAGCGGAUCACAUUGCCGUGGUGGUGAUCCUACUGGAUAAAGGCGAGGACAUCGAAGCCCAGUCUGAGAGAAUCAAAAACACACCCUCUCCCUGGCCUGCUCUGUAGGAAGACAAGAGGUGGCAAAACUGUUGCUGCUGCGUGGGGCCAACAAGGAGCAGUGUAGCAUUUCAGAUUACUCCUCUCAGCCUGGCCGCCUCAGGGGGCUGCAUCAAUAAAGAUCCUCAUGAAUGCUGGUGCUGAAAUGAACUCCAGAUACGACAGUUUAUCAACCUCUGAAACACACAACCAUCCCUGACUAGAAGUACAUUGGGUAGCUCUCUGCUGAUGCUGGCUGCCAUGAAUGGUCACGUCCUUGUGGUCAAGCUGCUGCUGGACAUGGGCUCAGACAUCCACACUCCCGUCGAGACCAAGCGCAACGCAGCACUGACCCUGGACUGCCAACAUGGAGCACC